rnacentral:rRNA from 1 species
GGGGGGAGCAAGCGUUGUUCGGAAUCACUGGGCGUAAAGGGCGUGUAGGCGGUCAAGUAAGUGGGAUGUGAAAUCCCUCGGCUCACCCGAGGACCUGCAUCCCAAACUGCUUGGCUUGAGUAUGGGAGAGGAUGAGGGAAUUCCUGGUGUAGCGGUGAAAUGCGUAGAUAUCAGGAGGAACACCGGUGGCGAAGGCGCUCAUCUGGCCCAAUACUGACGCUGAGGCGCGAAAGCUAGGGGAGCAAACGGGAUUAGAUACCCCGGUAGUCCUAGCCGUAAACGGUGAUCACUAGGUGUUGGAGGCAUCGACCCCUCCAGUGCCGCAGCUAACGCAUUAAGUGAUCCGCCUGGGGAGUACGGCCGCAAGGUUG